rnacentral:rRNA from 1 species
GAUGAACGCUAGCGGGAGGCUUAAUACAUGCAAGUCGAGGGAGAAUUCCGAUUUCGGUUGGAAGGAAACCGGCGCACGGGUGAGUAACACGUACACAACUUGCCCCUAACUGGGAGAUAG